rnacentral:tRNA from 1 species
GCCCCGGUGGCGGAAUUGGUAGACGCGUUGGUCUCAAAAACCAAUGAGUGUGAGCUCGUGCCGGUUCGAUCCCGGCCCGGGGUACGA